rnacentral:rRNA from 1 species
UUGCUCUUAUGAAGUUAGCGGCGGACGGGUGAGUAACACGUGGGUAACCUGCCCAUAAGACUGGGAUAACUCCGGGAAACCGGGGCUAAUACCGGAUAACAUUUUGAACCGCAUGGUUCGAAAUUGAAAGGCGGCUUCGGCUGUCACUUAUGGAUGGACCCGCGUCGCAUUAGCUAGUUGGUGAGGUAACGGCUCACCAAGGCAACGAUGCGUAGCCGACCUGAGAGGGUGAUCGGCCACACUGGGACUGAGACACGGCCCAGACUCCUACGGGAGGCAGCAGUAGGGAAUCUUCCGCAAUGGACGAAAGUCUGACGGAGCAACGCCGCGUGAGUGAUGAAGGCUUUCGGGUCGUAAAACUCUGUUGUUAGGGAAGAACAAGUGCUAGUUGAAUAAGCUGGCACCUUGACGGUACCUAACCAGAAAGCCACGGCUAACUACGUGCCAGCAGCCGCGGUAAUACGUAGGUGGCAAGCGUUAUCCGGAAUUAUUGGGCGUAAAGCGCGCGCAGGUGGUUUCUUAAGUCUGAUGUGAAAGCCCACGGCUCAACCGUGGAGGGUCAUUGGAAACUGGGAGACUUGAGUGCAGAAGAGGAAAGUGGAA